rnacentral:misc_RNA from 1 species
UUGAUUGCGAAUCGUUGCCUUCAGUGCUGGCCGGCUUUCGGCAAGUGCACGUUGGUGACUUUCAUCCAAUACCCUGUGAACCUUUGGCCUCUUGCUAGCUUUGGCCGGCAGAGGAUUUUUACACAAACUCGAAUGUAAUGAAAUUUACUGUCGUGCGCAAGCACUAAUGUA